AUGGGAAAGCAAGUUUCUCCUUUAACAAUAUUUACAGCCUUGUGCCUCUGUAAACUCCACACAGGUCCCCUUGUUCCUGCAGUUAAAGUCAAGAGGCAUGAAAUAAAGAGUGACCCAACUCCCCUGGGGUUUGAAGAUGCUUUUGAGAACACCAUUUUGGCCCAGACUAAAUGUAAUACCGGUUCCGCCACGAGGCCCGUCCCUAGAUCUGCUUCACAGACAGGCUGGCCCGGCAGGCAGAUGCCAUCUCUAGACACCUUUGAAGAUUUUGAAGCCAUCCCCUCCAGCACGGACGAGCUCUCCAACUCCUCUGACUUGGAGGAAGAGACCAACCCCAACAAUGUAAUUCCUUUUCCAAAUUACGCUGCCCUUUCCCAGGGCGACCUCCUCCUCGCUAAAGAUCACGGUGUGAGCUCCACGGCUCGGGGUCACACCAGCCUUAGACUCGUGGGUGUGGGGGAACACGGGUGGCAAUUUGACCUGGGGUGUUGGGGGAUUAUCCCAAGGCUAUUUUGUUGAUCAGGAUCAGGGCCAUAAAAAGGCACCUUUACUCAUAAGCUGUAGCUUUACUUCUUGUAAAGGGGAGGGAAAACUCUGAGCCCUUAAAAAAGUAAUUUCAGACUUUUCCAGGAAACUUAACCUGGUGUCACAAACCCCGUUUCUCUGUCAGAAUAAUGGCUGGUGGGUUCAUUCUAAAGCCUGAAUGCACAGCACAGCUCUGUCCUAAAUUUGAAUAAUAUUUAACCUGGGCAUGAUAAAAGGAAUAAGAAGUGGCACAGAACAAAUCUCUGCCAGCUUGAAAUGCCUCACUCAGUAUUUGACUGACCUCGCCCUCUCUUUCAUCCAUAGUGACUGUAUUUCUGGUGCAUUCUCUCGUUCAUUUUAGGGGACCAAUCUCUUUCGGGUCGAAGGCAGCUUUGACAGCUGUUUCCCGGAUUCUCUGACCCUGGAGGACGGAGAUUUAGUGCAGUUUGUGCAGGAAGGAGAGAACGGUCAGUGGUGAGUACCGCAGAGAGAGAGGAUUUGACAGGCAGAGCAGCCAUAACCCCCUGGAAAAGGCGGAAAAUAUUCAGAAGGAUGUCAAAGCCUCUUCAAAAUCAAUCCAG
rnacentral:lncRNA from 1 species